CACUUAUCUUACACUCCUGCACAUCUCUCCCUGCAUCUGCCUGGGAAUGCUUUUGAAGAACGAAAAUGGAAGAGUCUGCAAUCGGUAUCAAAUAUUAUUGAAUUGCCUAGAAACUGAGAAACGGUGUGAACGUGAUUAUGUAGAAGAAUGCACACGAUUCUCACCUGGCAGAAGGAUGGAAAGGGCAGCUUGGCCCAAGGGAGAAACCCACACUCAGCACAUAAACUGCAAUGUCAAAUACAGAAAAGAGGAAACCAUUUUUUGAAUGGAAAACAUCUGAUCUGGAAUUGUUUGCAGUGGAUAAAAGCAGCCUGCAUAUUAAAGGAUCUGACAUAUUUGUAAACCAGCAAUUAUGGCAUAUACCCAGCAAUUUGAAAUAUUUCUGAAUUGUUCAGCACACCCCCAAAUUGCUCAUGUAAUGAAAGCACAUGAAAAUGUUAUUAUCAUUGUUUCUAGUUGUCUUUCAUUUCCCACUGGAAACUUUCUUGUCAGCUUAAUACAUUUUUGUUUGUUUUCAGCUCUAGCUUUAUUUGGUUUUGGUCCUGGAAUGAAAAUGAGCUAAUGACACCUUUUCUCAGUCUGCAGAGGCUUCCUCUGCCUAGCAAGAGCAGAUUAGUUGCUCAGUGCAUGAUCUCAGAGUGAGAUUGAGUGUUGCUGCUUUAUUUGUUUAUUCUUAUUUAUUUUAGAGGAGGGGGAUUCAGGAUGUUUCUAUACAGGACAGUGUCAUCUA